GGACGAAUCAGCGGCAGCGGAUGAGAAACGAAAUCGCGCGCAAUUGAACGCGAUCAAACAUAUUUUAUUGUUUUUCGUUUUCAUAACGUCGUGUGUGUGUUUUUUUUUUUUUUUUUUAAACGCAAAUCUCGCGCGCGCCGUUCGUAUUAAAACGUAAUAUAUUUUCCGUGUUCGUAUACCUAUACGUGUAUAUGUAUAUAUGUAUUUAUUACACGGUAAAAGAAAAACGAGUCGUCAAAGGGAUAUCGCCGUGACGUGCGAUACGUGUACAUUUCGUUGUGUACCGUCGCCAGUCAUAUGUCACGCGGACUGCGUGUUAUACGCCGCAGCUGUUACCUAUAUAUUACACUGCAGGUAUAAUACCUAUUAUUAUAAUAUUAUGUACUUUAUUAUUAUUAUUUUUUUUUUUUUUUUUUUUUUUAUAAUGUCCCCGAAAGAAAUCUGACACUGCCUCGUCCGUAUUAUAUUAUUAUGUUGUAAACGAGUCUCGCCUGUAUUAUAUCGUAUGGUAGGUGUAAUGACUACGAGCGGCGUAAUGAUAAAUCGCAAGCGAGAGACGACAAGUGUAUCGGAACCGAACGCAAUAUUUUUAUUUGUGUCAGUCAUUCCGGUCGUCACUCGACAUUCGAGGGGGACGAUUCCGGUAACGGUUUUCCGAAUCGUUUUCGUCCGCCGUGUAAAAUUCGUUUUUUUUACAUUCAACCGCCGCCUUAACGACGAGAAUUUUUCCCGCUAAUCGGCUACUGUCCGAUACCCGUGUGGCCGUGUUUAUAAUUUUAACGUGUACUCAAAUGUACGGAAUGAACUCGGUGAUCGUUAUCCGUCGAGAUUUUAACUGUCGGUGUUUAGACUCGGUCAGUUUUUCGAACCGCCGGGAUUCGGGUAAUGGCAUUUUGACCGUCGGGAUUCGAAAC